GGGCAGACUGGGGCAGCACUGGGGAGAGGCUGUGUGGUAGGCCAGUGUCUCCCAGAAGGUGGUGGCUGGUCAGGUAGGCCCAGUUCAGAUGCUGGGGAGACAUGGGGGCAUGGCACACAGGCCACACGCAGCCUGGGAGGCCCCCAAGAUCAGGCCCCACCUGAAGACACCAGGUCGUUUUCCCUGGGCCAGGCCCUUGGAAAGGAGGAGGGAGUUGGGGAGGGAGAACGGAACCCUGGUUCUCUGGCAGGCCCCAUCCACCCAUGGCCUGUGGGCUCCAGGGAGAGCAUGGCCAGGGUGCCCAAGGAGAUGAGGAGGAGGCCCCUCAUGCUUGAUGACCUCUCCUGCUCACUAGGGUUUAUCAGCAUCAUUUAAGAUCAGCCUUGUGCUGUGGGUUCCUGGCGUGCUGUGGAUAACGCUCUGCCAGGGGUCAGCCCAGGCAUGAGGGGUGGAGACUAGGCUGGAAAGGGGAGGGGCUUGCAGAGGGCUGGGCUUUUCCAGGGGAUCAGGGUUCAGAACAGAGGUUUGGGGAGAGAAAGGGUUCAGAGAUGACCUGGGGUUCAGGCACAGGCAGACAGAAGGACCCCAAGCAGGACUGGCCUUCCAGACAGGAAAGAGGGUUGCGGAGACACAGGAGGCCAAUUUAGAGAGGCAGAGGAGAAAGGAGUUUCAUGGGAAGACAGGGCUUGGAGAGAGAUGAGGGAGGGAAACGGGGGCCGCCAUGCACCCUCAGCUUCCGGGGGACUUUGGAGGGGGUCGGGGCUCAGUGGGAGCCGGAGGUUGGUGAAGAGGACCCAGUUUAGGGCACCUGUGUGGUGAAGUGGGGGACUCGGAGGGAGGCAGGGAGGCAAGGCCAGAGUUUUCUCUUUGGGGAGGGACUCAUGGGGACUGUUAUGGGGAUGGAAGAUCAGUUGGGGUCAAGCGUACGGUGAGAGUGAGGAUGUGGUGGGGCAGCGGAGGCGGCUGAGGCUGGGAGGACCAGCAUUGGUUAGGAAAAGUGAUUCACAGGGAACAAAGAAGCCUCAGGGGACCGGGCCCAGAAGGGCUGGUAGGGAUCGCAGAGAGGCUGUGGGCAGGUGAGUGGACCAGCCUUCAGGGAGACAAGUGUCCUUAGCAGCCAGGACCUCAGCAUGGGACCAGAGCUCGGAAUGGGACACUUUGCCCUGCGGGCAGAGGGAGUGUGACCUGGGGUCUGUGCAGGAGAGGCCGCAUGCUCCCAGACUCUGGGAGUGAACUGGAGUGGGGCCCUGGCUGGGUGAAGUCAGACUCCAGGAAAGGGGGCAGGAGCUCCGAUGGGAGAAGUGGGCUCAGCCAGGAAGGAACAGAGUAGGGGUCUCUGAAACUUGUCGGAGGGCCUGGACUUGGUGGGCUAAGGAGGGAAGGGACUGGAGGGUGGCCUUGGGGGCCUUGGUGACUUGGUUAGAGAUAGGACAGGCAGAGAUGGGCACUCAGGUAGAAGGCCUGCUGGGGCUCAGGGGACUGGAGCUUCUUCAGGAGGGAACUGAGCUGCUGGAACUGAGAGUCAACAGGCCAGAAGGGCAGGACCCAGGGGCGGGGGUCCCUUGAGGCAGCAGGGCCCAGGCGCUGGGGUAGAGCGCGAUGGGGAGAGCGUUAAUAGGAAGGGGGUCUCUCUUGGGGAGGCAGAUAGAGAGGGUUCCGGGAGCCGCUAGUCUUUCACGGGGCGGGGGGCUCCGCGAGAGGGAUGGGGCCGGGUGGGGUGGGGAGGAAGACACAGCGGGUCCGGGGAGAUGGAGGUGGCGCCGGCACCCUGGUCGGGCGCUGUAGGGGUCCCAUCCCUGCAGGACCUUGCAACUCCCCGGGGUCGCGGCUUCCGGCCGGGCCCGCAGCCCCCACCCUCCCGGCAGGAGGAGGCGGGAGGCGGGGAGGUGGCUGCGCCCGCCGCCGCCGCCGUGAGUCAGGUUCUGGGCUGCAGCCGCGCGGCCGGUCUGGCGCUGCGGAGGGAGCACAGGCGGCUGGGGAGGCAGCGGCGCCGCCGCCGAGCCCCGCACGCUCCCCACCCCCUCAAGGUUGGGCCGCUGGGACGCGGAUCAGUGGACAGACAGCGGCCCGCGGGACGGCGGAAGGACGCGCGCACCGAGGCGCAGGGGGUCCGGCCGCGCGCCGAGGAGGAGUCGUUUGUAGGUGAGGAGGCGCCGUCCGAGCGGUUGCGGCAGACCCGGGUCGGGCUGGGGGCCGCAGAGCCUCGGCCGCAGACCCCCCGGCGCGCGCUGCACGGGCGCUGGGCACGCGGGGUGGCGCAGGGCGCGAGCGACUUGGUGCCGCGUUGGAGAAGUGUUCGUUUCGCAGCCUGUCAUUGCCCAGGGCCCCGACCAGUGCCCAGCCCCGCUGGGAGCCCCGGCCAGCACCACGGACGGCGCCCAGGAAGCCCGAGUCCCCCUGGACGGGGCCUUCUGGAUCCCGAGGCCCCCGGCAGGUUCGCCCAAGGGCUGCUUCGCUUGCGUGUCCAAGCCCCCCGCCCUGCAGGCUCCAGCGGCCCCUGCCCCUGAGCCCUCGGCCUCUCCCCCGAUGGCGCCCACACUGUUCCCCAUGGAGUCCAAGAGCAGCAAGACCGACAGCGUGCGGGCCACCGGCGCGCCCCCGGCCUGCAAGCACCUAGCCGAGAAGAAGACGAUGACCAACCCCACGACCGUCAUCGAGGUCUACCCGGACACCACCGAGGUGCGAGACAAGAAGCUUCUCAAUGACCUGAAUGGAGCCGUGGAGGAUGCAAAGACGGCCCGGCUGUUCAACAUCACCAGCUCUGCCCUGGCAGCCUCCUGCAUCAUCCUCGUCUUCAUCUUCCUGCGGUACCCCCUCACCGACUACUAAGGCCUGCCAGGCACGUCUGCUGGCGGAGACAAGCCCUGAGACAUGUUUAUUCUCAUGGUCCCUGAAACGCAGGAUCCCAUGAGGUUGGGGCAGGGCAGAGCUUCUUGUCCUGGGGCUCCCUUGAGCUGUGAACCGGGCAGCAAGGCCAUCAGAAGCUGAGUACAGCAAGGGGGCAGUGAGCUUGGCCCUCAGCCCACCCCCUCCGCCUCCUGGCCUCCGCCCUGCCUGUGUCUGGGGCCUGGGGGCUUCUCCCCUCGCUGCUGCACCCUGGCUUCCAGUGUCUGUGUCCCUGCCCUCACGUGCCCCUUCCCAGGCUCCUGGGGCUCCUUGGACCUGACACCUAGCAGGAAGGGCUUAGGCAAAAGUGUCCCAGGAUGGGACGACUCACUCUAUGCUCCCUGUCCCUGCCUCCUCCACGCUGUGACCCUGCUCAGAGCCCUCGUGUCUGUGAACUUUCAAUGAAAUACCCAUGCAGCUCCAGCCCAGCCUUCUACUUUGUGUCCCUGGCAGGGCCUGGAAAAGUCUGGAAGCUUUGCAAGCCUCCUUCAGGAACUGCCUGGAGGUCAGGGCCCCUGGCACUGUGUCACAGCGGACUGCAGGAGACAGUCUGCUCCAUUACAGCUGUGCCAGAUGGUGAAUGGGGGGGUGGGCAUUUGGUGGAGGUACCCCAAACUCGAGUCGCUUAGAGGGUCAGGCAGCCUCCUGGGGGGAAGGAAGUGGUAGAGCACAGCCUCAGCUGCCUGCGUUGGCCAAAUCAGAGCAAAGGAAACCACACAUUCACUCAGAAGGAAGCAGCAGGCAGAGACGAUAGACCCCUGGCUAACCCCUGUCCCUCCUGGAGGGCUCUGGGACCCGGGCAGGCCCCUUUACCUCUCUCGUGCCCAUCUCCUUAACUGUAACAUAGGAAAAUGACCUUUCACUUCUACAAUCACUGUGAAAAUCAACUGAAGAUGCUGUUCAAAGGCCAAGACCCGUGCCAUCCCGGUCCAUGGCACGUGCAGUCUGCAAUGUGGAAGGCAGGAUGCAGGGAUGGGCUCUGUCCCCUUGGAACUCAGGCAGAGUCAUGGGGGUGCCGGUCAGCCCUGAAGACAAGUCUGAUGAGGGUGCACUAGGAAAAGUGAAGGGUGUCAAGGCACACGAAGGAGGCGGGGAGGUGAAGAUGAAGAAGAUGAGGCACUGGCCAUGGGUGCAGAGCCUCACGCUGUGGGGGCCCCGCUGGUCUGGGAAACUGCAGGAAAUCCCACAGCUCAGGUGUGCAGUGGGAAGGACUUAUCAUCCCAUGGGAAGGCAGGCAAACUUUCCCAGGGAAGGGGCAUGGCCGUGCGCUUCGUGUUUUGGGAAGAUCAUGCUCUCCGGGGUAGCGAGGCCAGCUUGGAGGGGAUCCCAAUGGACAGAGGUGGAUGCAAGUGGAGGAGCUGAGCCUGGGCUGGGGCCAGCAGCAGAGGGUUGGACAGCAGGGCGCCUGGCAGCUGUGCAGGUGGUGGGGUUGACUGGUUUGGGAGGUAAGCUGGGGGAGAAGCCUGGAGGAUUCCUGCCCCUUGACUUGAACAGCCCAGUGGGUAGAGAGGGCUGUGUACCAACAGCAGGAAACCAGGGAGAAGAAGAUGUUGACUUUGAGACACCAAGCAGAGAAGGGAAGAGCCUUCUGGGCUGGAGACGUGGGAUGCCUCGGAAGGGAGGACCUUGAGUUAGCAGCAGAUGGGACAGACGCAGGAGACAGGGCAUACCAUGGCAGGAGUGCAGUGAGCAAGAGGCAGGUCACAGUCUUGACCCAGAAACCUGCAAAGGAAGGCAGGAUGGCUAACACCUGCCCAUGGGCCUGGGUUGCAGCCCAGGCGGAGGUGGAGGGGUUGCUCAGGGAAGAGGGGAGGGGAGGGGAGUGUGUGACCUCAAAACGGGAGGGCUUGGGGGUCCGAGUCGAGAGAGGGGACAGGGUGGGGACCAUGUGGGACUCUUGAGCACUGACCCUUCACCCUAGGCAGUGGUGGGAUGGGCGGGCAGGAGGCGGCGGCUGCGAGGCUGAUACAGGGCUGCAUGGAGCUGUCAUCGUGCCUCUUGGAGGAUGGUGGGAGAGGUGCCAGGGGCGGCUGAACGCCUCACCGAGCAUGUGGGCAACCCGGUUGUGGGCACUUUGGAUGCUUUCACCAUUAGACCCAGAGGCUUUCCUGAAUGAGCCUGGGCUGGAAAAUGAUGGCAGAGGCUGCUGGGCCUUGGAAGAGAGAGGGUCCUAGCUUCUAAUUCCUGGGGCACCUGGGGGAGACCUGGGUCCUGGGUCAUGAGGUCAGCUAAGGCCAACCCCAGUGUCCAGGUGUCGUCCAAGUUAUGCCUGGGAGGGAAGAAAGUAGAGGGGCAAAUGCUUUCUUUCCCUAUUUUCCUUAAGCCUUCGAUGCCAGUGCUGGUGGCUGCCUGGGACAGGGGCCAGGAGGAAACACACCUGCAUUAGGGAAGCCCUCAGCCAGCUUUUCCCUGGGACGUGCCUGUGCCUGGCUGAAGCUUUCUGAGUUCAUGCUGGGGAAAUGGAACAGUUACCUUCCAGCCAGUAGAGGCACCCCUAGCUCUUGGGAUGUUUGUAUCCAACUCCGGGCAAUGUGGGGCUACAAAGGCCCCUGGCUUCCACACCCUGGGGACCGGGGGAAGACUGGUGCUCCCACGAUGGGUGUCCACAGUGAGGUCAGGCCCCCAUAGCAGGUGCAUUCUCGCCCUCAGCAGGCAAGCAAGCAGGCGUCAGCUCCAGCACUGGGGUCCGGCUUUGAAGUCUGUGUCUCUGCCUGUCUGUACUCAUGCCUGACCUGCUGGCACGCCCUGUCCACUGCACUCCUCCCGCCUCAUUUUUAUGUGAUUUUGCACAGUGCCUGGCAAACAUUGGACGUUCAAUAAACAUUGUAUGAAUGAAAGAAA